UACGUAGGGUGCAAGCGUUGUCCGGAAUUAUUGGGCGUAAAGAGCUCGUAGGCGGUUUGUCGCGUCUGCUGUGAAAACUCGGGGCUUAACUCCGGGCCUGCAGUGGGUACGGGCAGACUAGAGGUGAUGAGGGGAGACUGGAAUUCCUGGUGUAGCGGUGAAAUGCGCAGAUAUCAGGAGGAACACCCGUAGCGAAGGCGGCACUCUGGGCCGGAACUGACGCUGAGGAGCGAAAGCGUGGGGAGCAAACAGG
rnacentral:rRNA from 1 species